rnacentral:lncRNA from 1 species
GACCUCCACCACAAUUUGAUGCAGGACGAUACUCCGACGCCUCCUACGCUUUCACGAAUGACUACUAUCAAGAGGCCGGUGCUUUCUUCACUCGUACCGACAACACCCUCCUCGACAUCUAGAACACGCAAGCAGAACAUGGAAGACUCCUGGAAGAGCAACAGAAAUGGAACCAGGACCAUGCCGCUGCAGUACAAGAGCUAAGACAAGAUACAACAACAAUGAACGACAACAUCACAACCAUGAUGCAGUUCUGGAACAUCGGGUAAGACCGACGUCAACAUCCAGCUUGGGGGAGUUCCUCCCUAAAUUUAUCAAGUAAGUUUCUAUUUGCUCUUCUUAUUUAUUUUAUUCUGUCUUAGAAUUUAACUUAUCUUAAAAGGAAAACUUAGAAAACCAAAUAAAUAUUUUCUUGCUUUAAUUUACUGCAUUUUAAACAUGAAAACAAAAUAAAAAGAGUGUGUAGAUAAGUGUGCUUUAUUUUUCUGCUAAAUUUAAUCUCUAGAAAAAAAAGACCAAAAAUAUGCAUGAUGGAAAUGAUGAACAGUUGCUCUGUUUGCUUACUUACAAGUACCUAGCUUUUAUAUUAGAAUUCUUCCAGGAAUUACUAAAACUAAAAUUAAUAUCUUUGGAAGCAUAAAACUAAAGUCUAGGUAAGGAAAGGCAUGAUAUAAAGAUGAGCUACUGUUUAUCUUGUUCCUACUACACUAAGUUCUGGAGAUUUAUUUUUGAAAACUUACAAAUCACAUGAUGAGUUCCUAGCAUAACAAACUACCUACCACAGCCAUACUUGCUAUAACAUCUUUUACUAUAUUUACAUUGAGUUUGAUCGAGCUGUGUAGACCCUUAGGAGCUUUUCAUGUGGUUAAAUUAAGAUAUUCACUUGCACACAUCUACCACAGCAUUCAUCACCAAUCAUUAAAAUUGCUAAAAAUGUUAUCACUCACUGUCCUGAAUAUUGUUAUUCUCUCUCUCUAAAAAGAUUCAAUGCAGAAGAGGCAUGGGUUAUGCAAAAAUAUACGAGGAAAUAAAAAGGGGCAAGUGCCCGGAACCUCGGAAAGAGAAAGAAAAAGAGUGAGACGAGAGGUAAAAAUGGACAAGUGUCCAAAGUAGAAUUAGGGGUACAAAAAUGCCCACUUGAGCGGAAAAAAUGGACAAGUGUCCGACAGUAGAAUUAGGGGUAUCUACUACCCACCUGAAAAAAAAAGAAAGAGAGAAAAAGAUAGCCCAUGUUCUCCCAAAGCAAAGAUCAAAAAGAAGAGGAGAGAUAGCAAUAUGAGGAGCAGUGAGAACUAAGAUUUAUUAACACUAUUGCAUUUUCACCAUCACUAUCAUUUACUCCACCACACAUGCACAUCUUGAUUUAAUUAUAUGCUGAGUUCCUUUGGAUCCAUGGCUCGAUUAGAUAAUAUAUGUAUGAGCUGUUUUCCACUCCUAUGAGCUCCACUUAAAUAUUCCAUUAGCUAUAGGUAAGUGAUAUCAUGGUAAGGAUCCACAAAUACUACAUAUAGAGAGACUUGAGAGAAUCAUUGCUGGGAACUCUGAGUUUUAUUUUGAAAACUUAUGAAAAACUCUAGAACAAAGGUGAAGUAUAGACAGAAGGGAUAGUGCUUGACUUAACUAUUUUGUCUUUCGAUUACUUAAGACUUAAGUGCAGGUACUAAACUUCAUAACACUUCACUC